UCCCUGGUAGUAUAUCGGUUAGUACACGCGCCUGUCAUAGCCUUCUCAAAGAAAUUUGUGCGCGCGAAAGCGGGGUUCGACUCCCCGCCAGGGAG